UACGUAGGUGGCAAGCGUUUGUCCGGAUUUAUUGGGUUUAAAGGGUGCGUAGGCGGCUUUGUAAGUCAGUGGUGAAAUAUGGCAGCUCAACUGUCAAGGUGCCAUUGAUACUGCGGAGCUUGAGUACAGAUGAGGUAGGCGGAAUUGACGGUGUAGCGGUGAAAUGCUUAGAUAUCGUCAAGAACACCGAUAGCGAAGGCAGCUUACUAGGCUGUAACUGACGCUGAGGCACGAAAAGUGUGGGGGAUCAAA
rnacentral:rRNA from 1 species